rnacentral:sRNA from 1 species
CCCUAGCCCUGAUGGGAGGGAAAAUCCUUUUGUGCCGGGGUUCGGCAUAAAAGAUUGGAAGGACAGUAGGAAAUAGC